UAGUUUUUAAAAAUCCACAAUAUUUAGAAAUUUUGGUUUAAACCGUUUUAAGAUGUUGAGCUACAUAUUUCGUAUGACUCCAUUGAGGGCAACUGGCAUCUUUAUUGGAGCAUGGGCCGUUAUUGUGGACCUUUCGCGCCCGAUGUCUGUUCGAAUUUCAGCAAGUAUCUUCAUGUUCUGGUUCGUGAACCUUGUUAGCUACGACAUCACAGAGGCUGUGGAAGGCGCUAUUUUAAGCUACUGGAUUUGUAGCAAUAAUAUUCCUGUAGACCGGAUACACAAGCUUCUUAAUUCUAUAGUCGAAAUUGUGGAAAAGAAUAUUCAGUACUGGCUCAACAAAGGGUGGGAUAAAGCGAUGGAAAAGCUAAAAGAGAAGAAAAUAAUAGAAAGUAUUCCAAGACAAUCUAUAAAAGAAGAAGAUACCCAGGAUGAAAGGAGUAAAAGCAAUAAAAUGAGUAGAAGUAGUAAAGAAUAGAGCUUCUUGAAAUAAGAUGAGUGUGCUAGCUGCUUAAAUAUUAACCUCCGUCAAUUAUCUUGUUUUACAUAAAUUUCUGUGAACCAAUAAAUGAUCAUAUCUAUUCUAAA